UCGGGAAUAUUGCGCAAUGGAGGAAACUCUGACGCCGUGACGCCGCGUGCAGGAAGAAGGUUUUCGGAUUGUAAACUGCUUUAGACAGGGAAGAAAAAAGACAGUACCUGUAGAAUAAGCUCCGGCUAACUACGUGCCAGCAGCCGCGGUAAUACGUAGGGAGCAAGCGUUAUCCGGAUUUAUUGGGUGUAAAGGGUGCGUAGACGGAGAGGCAAGUUAGUUGUGAAAUCCCUCGGCUUAACUGAGGAACUGCAACUAAAACUACUUCCCUUGAGUACUGGAGAGGAAAGUGGAAUUCCUAGUGUAGCGGUGAAAUGCGUAGAUAUUAGGAGGAACACCA
rnacentral:rRNA from 1 species